UUUGGUGAUUUAAAGUAAGGGGGUGUAUUCAAUCAAGACUUUUAAAGAGUUUCAAAGACUUUUAAAGUGAUGGAUUUUAAAUGACUUUUGUAGA